GGCGCUAUAGCCAAGUGGUUACGGCGACAGAUUAGAAUAUCGUGUGGGAACGAUCCAUCUCACUUUGAUCUGUUCCUCUUUGAGGGCGCAGGUUCGAAUCCUGCUGGCGUCG